rnacentral:lncRNA from 1 species
GGGAAACUACGUGUUACUAAAUAUAAAAAUAAAAGUACGAAGUUAAUUUCAAUUAACUUCGUACAUCACAACACAUUGUGCUAUGUCACGCACAAUUUCACAACAUUAUACACAUAUAACUUCACAAAAAAAUUACAAACAUAACAAACAAACUUUUACAAUAAUAUACCUUCUAAAUCGUUCUCCACCAAUCACCAAUCACAAAUAUCCCUAACGAUAACAAAAUUAAUAGCGUUACUAAGAAUUUAC